rnacentral:rRNA from 1 species
AUACGUAGGUGGCAAGCGUUAUCCGGAUUUACUGGGUGUAAAGGGCGUGUAGGCGGGCCUGCAAGUCAGGUGUGAAAUUCCAGGGCUCAACCCUGGAACUGCACUUGAAACUGUGGGUCUUGAGUGAUGGAGAGGCAGGCGGAAUUCCGCGUGUAGCGGUGAAAUGCGUAGAUAUACGGAGGAACACCAGUGGCGAAGGCGGCCUGCUGACAUUAACUGACGCUGAGGCGCGAAAGCGUGGGGAGCAAACAGGAUUAGAUGCCCUGGUAGUCCACGCUGUAAACGAUGGAUACUAGGUGUGGGGGGUCUGACCCCCUCCGUGCCGCAGUUAACACAAUAAGUAUCCCACCUGGGGAGUACGAUCGCAAGGUUGAAACUCAAAUGAAUUGACGGGG